rnacentral:lncRNA from 1 species
AGAGGAGUCCUUAUGAAGAGAGAGGCAGAGGGUCAGAGCCGGAGACCAGCAUGUGAGAACGGAAGCAGAAGCUGAAGUGCUGGGGGGCCACGAGCUGAGGAAUGCAAGGAGCUUGUAGAAGCUGGAAAAGGCUAGGAACGGAUUCUUCUCUAGAGUGUCCAGAAGGAACACAACUCUGCCAUCACCUUGUUUUAAGUCGAGUGAGACUGAUUUUGGCCUACUGACCUCCAAAACUGGCCUGUGAGGAUUCUCAGCCUUCGUUCAGGUUUGGGGAAGAAAGACAACCAGGAGAAGAAAUGUCUAUCAUGGGUGCCCCAUCCCGUGUGCCAGUUCCUUGCCCUCUUGAACGUAAACCAGGAGCAUAUGGAUCCUAUGUGCUAAGAGACUAAGCCCCUCAGUACAUAGUUGUCUAUUAGAGCUGAAAAUCCUUCUGUUUGUGCUAUGUGAGACACCACCACAGCAUGGCUUGAUGAGCACUUCCAUGUCCGCACCCAGGAUAAACCAGUGAAGCCCCGGGCCACCAAAGAAGAGUGUGUGAACUUAAUCGCUUGGCCACGGGGCUGGCCCCUGAAAAAAUUAAUUAUUAAUGUAAGCUUAGAUGUUUAUAUUUAACUAAAAUUAGGUUGUAAUUAUAACAGUAUAUACUUUUUGGACACUAUUCUAAGAUAGCACCAAACAAUACUCAUACUCCACAGUUGACUUUCAUAUCACCAAAAAUGCAAAAAUUUGCAAAAAUGUUCCUGAGUUUCAUCAAGCUAUCCCAGAGUCCUCUCAUGAUUUUUGAUAUGCACAUCUUUCUGUUCUGAAAUGGCCAUUCAUGUUGAUUUUCUCCUUGCUUUGUUAACUGGCCUAAUUCUGCCAGAUUCUCUUUUAUCAAUGGUUUUGCAUGCAUUUCAAAAGCAGUUCUCAUAGUGAAUCCCUCCACACUCCCCAAAAUGUAGUAUUCCAACAUCACUUUCAUCAAUUUCAUGAAAUUCUGCUCCUUUUCCAAGAUGGACAAGUUCAUUUUUUUUUGGAGGAGGAGGAGGAGAUUAGCCCUGAGCUAACAUCUGCUGCCAAUCCUCCUCUUUUUGCUGAGGAAGCUUGGCCCUGAGCCAACAUCUGUGCCCAUCUUCCUCUACUUUAUAUGUGGGACGCCUACCACAGCAUGGCUUGACAAGUGGUGCAUGGGUCCGCACCCGGGAUCCGAACUGGCGAACCCUGGGUCACUGAAGUGCAACGUGUGAACUUAACCACUGCGAUACCAGGCUGCACCCCAAGUUCACUUUUCAACAAAUUCAAAUAGUUCUGUUAGAUGUUUAACAUUAUCCAUGAGAGUGACCACAACGAUUU